rnacentral:rRNA from 1 species
UGGGGAAUAUUGCACAAUGGGCGAAAGCCUGAUGCAGCGACGCCGCGUGCGGGAUGAAGGCCUUCGGGUUGUAAACCGCUUUUAAUUGGGAGCAAGCGAGAGUGAGUGUACCUUUUGAAUAAGCACCGGCUAACUACGUGCCAGCAGCCGUGGUAAUACGUAGGGUGCAAGCGUUAUCCGGAAUUAUUGGGCGUAAAGAGCUCGUAGGCGGUUUGUCACGCCUGGUGUGAAAGUCCAUCGCUUAACGGUGGAUCUGCGCCGGGUACGGGCAGGCUAGAGUGCAGUAGGGGAGAUUGGAAUUCCCGGUGUAACGGUGGAAUGUGUAGAUAUCGGGAAGAACACCAAUGGCGAAGGCAGAUCUCUGGGCUGUUACUGACGCUGAGGAGCGAAAGCAUGGGGAGCGAACAGGAUUAGAUACCCUGGUAGUCCAUGCCGUAAAACGGUGGAUGCUGGAUGUGGGGCCCUUCCACGGGCUCCGUGUCGGAGCUAACGCGUUAAGCAUCCCGCCUGGGGAGUACGGCCGCAAGGCUAAAAAC